GAAGACAAAACAGCCUGAUCAUCAGGUGGUCCGGUUUGGACAAACUGAGAUCACUGAUGGACAUCACUGCAGCGUGAAGAGCAAUGAAGACAAGAUAUUAAAAAGUUACAGAUGACCUCCUUUCCUCAGACUCUGGACAUCUCAGCAUCCUCAUCUUCCUCGACCUGACAGCUGCUUUUGACACAAUCAACCACUCCAUCCGGCUUUGCCAUCUUGAACACUCCCUCAGCGUCACAGGCACCGCCCUAUGAUUGAUUAGAUCAUAUCUCACAGACAGAAACCAAUAUGUCCACAUAAAUAACUGCUCCUUCUCUACAGCCUCCCCCCCUUUAAAAACCAAGCACCGAACCUGGGGGGACAGAGCCUUCUCCAUAGCUGCCCCUUCCCUUUGGAACUCAUAUUCAAAACUACACAGACCUACCCACUUUCAAAUCACACCUCAAAACACACCUCUUUUGACAAGCUUUUAAUUUGUGAUUCUGAUCUUGUUUUGUCUUUUUUAUUUGUUUUUUAAU